AGUAACGCGUGGGUAACCUGCCUUGUACUGGGGGACAACAGUUGGAAACGACUGCUAAUACCGCAUAAGCGCACAGCUUCGCAUGAAGCAGUGUGAAAAACUCCGGUGGUACAAGAUGGACCCGCGUCUGAUUAGCUAGUUGGUGAGGUAACGGCUUACCAAGGCAACGAUCAGUAGCCGACUUGAGAGAGUGAUCGGCCACAUUGGGACUGAGACACGGCCCAG
rnacentral:rRNA from 1 species